rnacentral:rRNA from 1 species
GUGUCAGCCGCCGCGGUAAGACGUAGGGAGCGAGCGUUGUCCGGAUUCAUUGGGCGUAAAGAGCGCGCAGGCGGUUCGGUAAGUCGGUUGUGAAAUCCCGGGGCUCAACCCCGGAACUGCAUCCGAUACUGCCGGACUAGAGGUAGGUAGGGGAGAUCGGAAUUCCUGGUGUAGCGGUGGAAUGCGCAGAUAUCAGGAGGAACACCGGUGGCGAAGGCGGAUCUCUGGGCCUUACCUGACGCUCAGGCGCGAAAGCUAGGGGAGCGAACAGGAUUAGAUACCCCCGUAGUCC